GAAAAACACUAUAGCUCCGGCUGUGCUCUUGAUGUUUAGCUUCCUUUUAACAUAUCUUCUCCUUGCCGCCGUUACAUCACGACGGAGGUCAUCAGCCCCACUGCGUCUAGUACCUUCAAGACCUCCCGGACCGCCGAGAUGUGUGGGAUGGCCCAUCAUCGGACUUCUUCAUAUAAUCGGAAAAGCUCCUCACCUUUCACUUGCCACUCUCUCAAGAGUUUAUGGACCAGUCAUGAGUCUUAGACUUGGAAGUUUAACCACAGUGGUCAUUUCUUCACCAGAGGCAGCACGAGAGGUUUUGAGAACGCUCGACCAUGUCUUCUCUGCACAAGCCUUCAGCGAGACCGUUAGAACCAUCGGUCACCAAGAAGAUGUCUCCACUCCACGGCUACCUUCCAUGUCGCCCCAUUGGAGGUAAACUAUAAAUUAGUUAAUUAAAAUUUCACAUUGUUUGGUUUUGACUAUGGUGGACUUGUAUAUACUAGAAUUUAUUAAUCUAUUGACAUGUAGUUCAACCAUGGUCAGCCCAAUAAUCCACUAGGAAUGUAGUCUGGUUCACUGUCUAGGUCGCAUCUUGUCUCAGCACAUGAAUAAUGAUAACAAUAGGAUAGUAUACAAUUUUAUAAUGGAUAAAUCUCACAAAUAACAUUCUUAAUUUUUAUCACAAAUAACAUUAAAAUAGCUUUUAUUAAUUAAUAAAAGACGUAAUCUUGGUAGGGCAGAGAGAGUGAGAGACAAUGAGGAAGGCGAUAGAAACGGUUCAUUUCGAAUUCAUGCUGUAUUUAAUUAAUAAUUAUAUUUUAUAUCUUCCCCCCCCCCCCCACCCCAACAUCUCACUAUUACUCCCUCAUAUUUUUGUAUCUUCUCAAAAUUGCCCCUUUAGUUUUUUCUUACUUAUCUUUGCAUUAAGAUUACAAUGAUAUAGUCAAGUGAAUUGUUGUAUUCAAAUUCUCUUACAUGGAUUGUACUUUAGUGAUCAAAUAAUUAAGUUUAUAUAUAUAUCACAUGGGUUACAAUUAAAAAAUUGGAAAAUGAUGAUGAAUUCUUCAAAUUUUCCUUCUAAUAAAUAUUCCAAGAUCAAAUCCUCUAACAAAAAUAUGGUAUUGCGUAUUAAAUACUUUGAUCAGUGUCUCUUCUGUUAAAAACAAAAUUGUACAUAAAAUAGUAAAAUAAAGAAAAUGGAUUAUAGAUUUUUUUUUUUAAGAUAAAAUGUAAAAUAGUUAACAUACUAUUGAUAAUAUACUAAUUAAUAAAGUUAAAUUAUUGUACUUUAUAUCUGAUUUUUAAUAGAAAUAUAUAAGUAUUUUUACGAAAUUGAUGAGUAUAUAAUAGGAAUGACACGUGAAUAUGUAAUACUUUCAAAACAAGUUUAUUCUCAUAUGAACUUGUUGAAAACAUUAAGAAUUCAAAAUCUACUUAAUAUUUUGAUUAAUGGUAAAACUUGUAACACUUAGAGUUUCUUCAAACUCUAAAAACUUGUCUUAUCUUUUAAUUUUCAGUUCUCCGUAUAUGUUCAGUAUCUACAUCGAAUACAAAUCAUGAGGAUGUGUCCCAUUUUCUGAAUUCGUUGAUGAUGAUGUCUUUAAAAUUGAUAAUAGGGUAUGAUUAGAGCGUCAGAAGAAUACGUGGUCGAAACUAGAACGUGAGAAGUACAUGGACCAGUUUGAGCAACGAAAGAUUCUGCCUCGAUAACGAGGCAACGAGCGUUUUGAUGAUACGUUCCAUGUGACUUGGUAAAAUAAGUGAAGACGUGCUUUACCACAAAAUCACAUCUCCCUACUCAAGCGACGUUGACCGUUGACAAAUCAAGUAAUCUUAAUUUUUAGUUGUUAAAUGGAAUAAGAUUUUACGAUCUUCUAAAAAAUUGAACUCCUGCGGUUAAAUAAUAUAGGUAGUUUUAAAGCACAAAAAUGAAAAAAAAUUAUAUCAUAUACACAAAUUUUCACAAAUUAAAGAUUAAGAUAUAUCAUCGUAUAUGAUAGAAAAUCUUUCUAAUAAAUUAUUCUUUUAUCAUUCAAAACUUAACAUAUCACGUACUGUUGUUGACAAAACACAUAACAUACCACAUAUUGUUUCUUUAGCUUUUAAAACGAUGGACAGACUUUUGUGUCCUAAGCAUAAAUUUCAUUUUGUCAUCAAUGCAUUAUUUAGAUUGAAGCUACUCCUCAUACUAAUCCCAUAAUGAUAAUAAUUAUAGUACUAAUAUAGUUACUACAUAAUAUAAUUUCUAUAAAUAAGUAUAAGCUUGUGGUUAGAAGAAAACGCCACGAGCGUCUGACAAUGAAAAACACUAUAGCUCCGGCUGUGCUCUUGAUGUUUAGCUUCCUUUUAACAUAUCUUCCCCUUGCCGCCGUUACAUCACGACGGAGGUCAUCAGCCCCACUGCGUCUAGUACCUUCAAGACCUCCCGGACCGCCGAGAUGUGUGGGAUGGCCCAUCAUCGGACUUCUUCAUAUAAUCGGAAAAGCUCCUCACCUUUCACUUGCCACUCUCUCAAGAGUUUAUGGACCAGUCAUGAGUCUUAGACUUGGAAGUUUAACCACAGUGGUCAUUUCUUCACCAGAGGCAGCACGAGAGGUUUUGAGAACGCUCGAC
rnacentral:lncRNA from 1 species